rnacentral:rRNA from 1 species
AUGGUAAUCAGUAUGUUGGAGAAGUUUGACAAAUAUUGGGAAGAAAAGAACAAUGCCAUAGUGAUCGCAACCGUCUUUGAUCCUAGGUACAAGAUGGGUUACAUAGAGUGGGCCUUUGGAAAACUAUAUGGAGAAGGAAGUACGAGGUUUAGGACUAAGAUCAAAACUGUGGAGAAAGAGUUGGCAGCCUUGUAUGAAAAAUGUGUUGCUCAAAAUAAGCGAGCUGGAAAUGGAGAAAGCUCAUCUUCCUCUACAAACAUUCCUAGUAUCCUGGUUCAAGCUGGGUACGAGUCCUUCUUAUCGUCCCGUUCAACAAGAAUAUCAAAGAGUGAGUUGAGGAACUACUUAGAGGAUGAGGUUGCCCCUCGCAACAAGGCUCUUGAUCUUCUUGGUUGGUGGAAAGACAAUGCUCCAAGGUACCCAAUGUUGGCCAAGAUAGCCAAGAGGUUCCUUACUAUCCCAGCUACCUCUGUGUCUUCGGAAUCUACCUCCAGCACGACCGGAAGGAUUUUAGUUUGUCAACUUGUGUCGUAUUGGAUGACUAUAGGAGUUCGUUAA